CCAAUAGCGUAUAUUAAAGUUGUUGCAGUUAAAAAGCUCGUAGUUGAAUUUCGGGGCCAGUAGGUUGGUCGUGCCACUGGUAUGUACUGGCCUUACUGGUCCCUCCUUCUUGUAGAACCGUGAUGCCAUUAAUUUGGUGUUGCGGGGAAACAGGACUGUUACUUUGAAAAAAAUAGAGUGCUUAAAGCAGGCUCGCGCUUGAAUACAUUAGCAUGGAAUAACGGAAUAGGACGAUCGAACCUAUUUUGUUGGUUUCUAGGAUCGACGUAAUGAUUAAUAGGGAUAGUUGGGGGCAUUAGUAUUCAAUUGUCAGAGGUGAAAUUCUUGGAUUUAUUGAAGACUAACUACUGCGAAAGCAUUUGCCAAGGAUGUUUUCAUUAAUCAAGAACGAAAGUUAGGGGAUCGAAGACGAUCAGAUACCGUCGUAGUCUUAACCAUAAACUAUGCCGACUAGGGAUCGGAUGAAGUUAAUUUUUUAAUGACUCAUUCGGCGCCUUACG
rnacentral:rRNA from 1 species